rnacentral:rRNA from 1 species
AGUGAACGCUGGCGGCAGGCCUAACACAUGCAAGUCGAACGGCAGCACAGAGGAGCUUGCUCCUUGGGUGGCGAGUGGCGGACGGGUGAGGAAUACAUGGGAAUCUGCCCAAUCGUGGGGGAUAACGUAGGGAAACUUACGCUAAUACCGCAUACGACCUACGGGUGAAAGCGGCGGACCGCAAGGCGUCGCGCGAUUGGAUGAGCCCAUGUCGGAUUAGCUAGUUGGCGGGGUAAAGGCCCACCAAGGUGACGAUCCGUAGCUGGUCUGAGAGGAUGAUCAGCCACACUGGAACUGAGACCCGGUCCAGACUCCUACGGGAGGCAGCAGUGGGGAAUAUUGGACAAUGGGCGCAAGCCUGAUCCAGCCAUGCCGCGUGAGUGAAGAAGGCCCUCGGGUUGUAAAGCUCUUUUGUCCGGAAAGAAAAGCUUUCGGUUAAUACCCGGAAGUCCUGACGGUACCGGAAGAAUAAGCAUCGGCUAACUUCGUGCCAGCCGCCGCCGUAA